AGUGAACGCUGGCGGUAGGCCUAACACAUGCAAGUCGAACGGCAGCACAGUAAGAGCUUGCUCUUACGGGUGGCGAGUGGCGGACGGGUGAGGAAUACAUCGGAAUCUACUUUUUCGUGGGGGAUAACGUAGGGAAACUUACGCUAAUACCGCAUACGACCUACGGGUGAAAGCAGGGGAUCUUCGGACCUUGCGCGAUUGAAUGAGCCGAUGUCGGAUUAGCUAGUUGGCGGGGUAAAGGCCCACCAAGGCGACGAUGCGUAGCUGGCCUGAGAGGAUGAUCGGCCACACUGGAACUGAGACACGGUCCCGACUCCUACGGGAGGCAGCAGUAGGGAAUUUUCGGCAAUGGGCGAAAGCCUGAACGAGCAACGCCGGGGGAGUGAAGAAGGUCUUCGGAUUGUAAAACUCUGUUUUUAGGGAAGAAAAUAUGGGUAAGUAACCCCGCACAUCUUGACGGUACCUAAAAAGAAAGCCACGGCUAACUUCGUG
rnacentral:rRNA from 1 species